UACGAAGGGUGCAAGCGUUACUCGGAAUUACUGGGCGUAAAGCGUGCGUAGGUGGUUCGUUAAGUCUGAUGUGAAAGCCCUGGGCUCAACCUGGGAAUGGCAUUGGAUACUGGCGACCUAGAGUGCGGUAGAGGGGUGUGGAAUUCCCGGUGUAGCAGUGAAAUGCGUAGAUAUCGGGAGGAACAUCUGUGGCGAAGGCGACACCCUGGACCAGCACUGACACUGAGGCAUGAAAGCGUGGGGAGCAAACAGG
rnacentral:rRNA from 1 species